AGAGUUUGAUCAUGGCUCAGGACGAACGCUGGCGGCGUGCCUAAUGCAUGCAAGUCGAGCGAGCUACAGUCUUCGGACUGUAGCUUAGCGGCGAACGGGUGAGUAACACGUAGGUGAUCUACCCUUCAGAGGAGGACAACUUCAGGAAACUGAGGCUAAACCUUCAUACGUUCACUGGUAGGGAUACUGGUGAAGAAAGAGUUACCGUCAAGGUAGUUGCUGAAGGAUGAGCCUGCGGCCCAUCAGGUAGUUGGUGAGGUAACGGCUCACCAAGCCGAAGACGGGUAACCGGUCUGAGAGGAUGUCCGGUCACACUGGGACUGAGACACGGCCCAGACUCCUACGGGAGGCAGCAGCAGGGAAUCUUGGGCAAUGGGCGAAAGCCUGACCCAGCGACGCCGCGUGGAGGAAGAAGUCCUUCGGGGCGUAAACUCCUGGACUGGGGGACGAGGAAGGACGGUACCCCAGUAGAAAGGGACGGCUAACUACGUGCCAGCAGCCGCGGUAAAACGUAGGUCCCGAGCGUUGUUCGGAUUCACUGGGUGUAAAGGGCGCGUAGGUGGUUGUCUGUGUCUCAUGUGAAAACUCAGGGCUCAACUCUGAGAUUGCGUGGGAAACUAGGCAGCUAGAGGACGGUAGAGGGGAGUGGAAUUCCCGGUGUAGCGGUAAAAUGCGUAGAUAUCGGGAGGAACACCGGUGGCGAAGGCGGCUCUCUGGGCCGAUCCUGACGCUGAGGCGCGAAAGCUAGGGGAGCGAACCGGAUUAGAUACCCGGGUAGUCCUAGCCGUAAACGAUGGGUGCUAGGUGUUGGGGGGUAAAGACCCUUCAGUGCCGAAGCCAACGCGAUAAGCAUCCCACCUGGGGAGUACGGCCGCAAGGUUGAAACUCAAAUGAAUUGACGG
rnacentral:rRNA from 1 species